rnacentral:lncRNA from 1 species
AAGAGCUCUUUCCCCGGUUCCAGCGCAGCACCUCCGCCCACCCCGCCACCAUCCUAAAGUCGGGCAGGCACUGCCGACGAUCUCCGUGCCGGAGAGCUCCCCCGUACGCUUCCGCCACCGCGAGUUCCUCGUGUCCGCCUUCUCGGCAAUCCUAACGGACGGUUCCCCCGAUCUCCUCCUCCGGUUUUCCCCAACCCCUACUACUGAGCCCCCCCCCCCCCCUCUGUCUAGGUCGCCGGCGACCCCAACUAAAGUUCUUCCUUGCCUCCACAUUCUUCUGCUUGCCUCUUCCCUCUCCCUUGCGGACCCCAAUUUCAAGCGUUAUACCAUCCCAACUUCUCCGACUCCGAUGCCAUAGGCAUCUUCUUCCUCCCCACCGUCCGGGUGGCCUCUCAACACAUCAAACGGUGCAAAAGGUGGAUUGGGGCGUCUGAUAGGGUGGCGACGCACGGCGUCGCCUUCGGUGACGGCAGCCUGGGCGGUGGAGAGGAAGGGUGGGGACUCCCUCAAACGAAGCGUCCAUUAGCUUCCUUCUGCCUGCAUCGUAAAAAGUUUCGUGGUCGUAGGAAGAGUUCGGAUCCUCUGUUCAAGCUUCAAGAAAACAGUUACGUAUAAGACAAACAAAUUUCCUUUAACUUUAAUAAUAAGCUCUAUGCUAGGUUUAAUUCUUAGCCAUGAAGUUUGAUUCUUGUGACUCGGGAAAAGACUGAAUUAAGGCUUAAAUUUGGAUCGAAUGAUGCUAUCAUAAUUUUAUGUUGGAUGGGCACUAUGUUUACUUCUUCUUAUUAUUAUCAAUAAUUUUUCAAAAAAUAGAGAUCUAGCUUCAUUCAGUUGACGACUUAUUUUCUUGCAACCUUCCGUAUCUCAUUGGUUGUGUCAAGAAACAUCAUGCUAUUGCAAAAAGAUGGAUUAUUACUAUCCAAAAGCUGAAUUAUUUCGGGAGAAUUCUCUUGAUUUUACUCUGUGAAUCCAUUAAUAUUUGGAGGAAGACGGUCCUUGAUGGCUUAAUGAAACACUUCUGCUUUCCUUUAGCAGUUAGGAAGAUUUUCAGUUAUCUUGCCCAUUGAAGAUGUUUAGCUUACUUAAUUUGAGUAAUGUAGUUUUAGUUUAGUUGCAUCAUUCAUCGGAAAGUUGGGACUCUUUAGCCUAACACUCUAUGUGAUUCUUAAAAACAAGAUCAUUUAUCCCAAAACUUGCAUUAGGGAUAAAUUUCUAGUAUCUGGAUCAAACAAAAAGGGCAUAAACCAUUCUUUGUAGCUUCAAUAUGCAGCAUGGUCAGCCUACAGUAACAAGAUUUGAAUUGUUUCUUUUGUUUUGGUUUAACAUUUUCUGCUUUAUUUGGUCAGCGGGGAGAAGGUGGUGGCAGCGCAGGAGAAGAGGAAGGUGGACUUGAGGAAGCCAUGGGAUUGGAGGAGGGAGUGGAGGACAUGAGGGCUGACAAGGGUGGCAUCAUGGAAGACAGUGCCAACUAUGGUUGCGGAAGACUGCUUUCUUUGUUUGCUGUUGCUUUUACUCUUUUAUGCAUUUGUUUGCUAGAUACCGACAAGAAACUUAUCAAUUUAUGAUCUACUAUUUUUUUCUACUAUUUAAUUAACUUCUGCAGCUAGUUGCUAAUAUAUCAUGGAGGUAGAGCUUCUUGCAGCGUUUCGCGUACUAAUUUAUUUAUUUCGCUAUUUCUUUUUUUAUGGCUUAGAUUUUUUUUCUUUUCUUUUAAACAGAAAGCAGUUUAAUGCGUCAUCUAGUUGCAGCUUUGACUGACGUUUGCCUAUUUAUCC